AUUGAACGCUGGCGGCAUGCUUUACACAUGCAAGUCGAACGGCAGCGCGGGCUUCGGCCUGGCGGCGAGUGGCGAACGGGUGAGUAAUGCAUCGGAACGUGCCCAGUAGUGGGGGAUAGCCCGGCGAAAGCCGGCUUAAUACCGCAUACGACCUGAGGGUGAAAGCGGGGGACCGAAAGGCCUCGCGCUAUUGGCGCGGCCGAUGUCGGAUUAGCUAGUUGGUGGGGUAAAGGCUUACCAAGGCGACGAUCCGUAGCUGGUCUGAGAGGACGACCAGCCACACUGGGACUGAGACACGGCCCAGACUCCUACGGGAGGCAGCAGUGGGGAAUUUUGGACAAUGGGGGCAACCCUGAUCCAGCCAUGCCGCGUGCGGGAAGAAGGCCUUCGGGUUGUAAACCGCUUUUGUUCGGGAAGAAAUCCUCUGGGCUAAUACCCCGGGGGGAUGACGGUACCGGAAGAAUAAGCACCGGCUAACUACGUG
rnacentral:rRNA from 1 species